rnacentral:rRNA from 1 species
GAUGAACGCUAGCGGCAGGCCUAACACAUGCAAGUCGCGGGGCAGCGCGGUGCAGCAAUGCACUGGCGGCGACCGGCGCACGGGUGAGUAACGCGUAGGCAACCUACCCUUGUAUUGGGGAUAACCCCGCGAAAGCGGGGCUAAUACCGAAUGAGACCCUGUUCUGGUGGGGACAGGGUGAAAGUCGGCCGCUCGGAGAAGCUGACGUACGAGGAUGGGCCUGCGUCCUAUCAGCUAGUUGGUGUGGGUAACGGCCUACCAAGGCGACGACGGGUAGCUGGUCUGAGAGGAUGGUCAGCCGGACUGGGACUGAGAUACGGCCCAGACUCCUACGGGGGCAGCAAUUAGGAAUCUUGCGCAAUGGG